CAUACUGAGAACACCGGGCGUCGAGUUGCUUUCCAGAUCGGCAACAAUCACCUGCUUUUGAGCUAACAGUAUCUUGAUUAUGCUGGUUAAUGACCAUGGCCUAACAGUAGGCCUAAGCAUUGAUGCCAUAGCCAACCUUAGGUCUUCAUAGGACCCACAUACUAGAUGUCUAUGUGAACUGGGGACUGAAGAUGGGGGAUUCCAGAAAGUGCAGAAGAAUAUUGAGAUGUGAGAACGAUGAGGCAGAGGUGGAUGGAGACCAAACUACACACUGAAGGACAAAACGUCCAAGCCAGAGAGAAGCCCACAUAGAUGACAUCAAAAUCAAUGACUCUCAAGCUUGUUUGACAGAAACUGACGUUCCACUGUUAUCCUUCUUGGUGCGUUCUGCACUGACCUUGGGAGCUGAAGCCCUUUGGAGAGAGAUGCAUUGUGCUGCAGAGAUCCACUGCCAAUUACCAGUGACAGAUAAAGAUGUUGCUUCCUGUAACGUCGCAGGACACUGCAGCAAAGUUUUGUAAUGCUUUUUGAAUCCCGGUAUGCAACCAGAUAAUAAGUUAUGACUUAUUUUAUGACUUUAUAUUUAGCUAACAGUCCUAACCAUAGACUGUGUCUUGACAUACUGUAGAAUUGAAUCAUAU
rnacentral:lncRNA from 1 species